GGAAUUACUCUGGUAUUUAGUUGUCGGACCAGUUGUUCGUCUCGCCCAGCGACCGUUUCACCACCUGAACGAUCUUCUCACCGGAAAUGAGGUAGAUUAAACACCAGUGUCACCUGAACCCAAGACGAAGCAGGUGGAGUCUCUUUCAGGCGACGGGACGCCGGGGAAUAAACAACAGAGAGCCGAACACAAAGAUGAUUUCCGGUUGGUUGGUUUCGGUGCUCGUAUUCGCGUCCGCAGCGACAGUUGUAAGUAGCUUUUCAGUUACAACUUCCAACGCAAAUGUGCAAGUCAAAGAAAAUGAAGGGGUUGAUUUGACAUGUUCCUAUUCUGCGGACUUUGGAUCAAGUGCCAGAGUAGAAUGGAAGUUUAAGGACGUUACAGGUUCACAGAAAUAUGUCUUUUAUGAUGGAAAACCCACAGCUCCAUAUGCCAAUCGCGUGAACGUGUUUGGGAGCAAUAUCAGAUUUAACAAAGUGACCCGGAGGGAUAACGGAGUGUACGACUGUGAGGUGUCUGGUGUCAAUAGUCAGUUUGGGGAGGCCCGGGUACAGCUUACAGUUCUUGUGCCUCCGUCGCCACCUCUGUGUAGGAUCCCUACCUCGGUGACGACUGGAAAUAAGGUCAUGCUGUACUGCCACGAUAAAGACGGCUCCCCUUCUCCCCAAUACAGGUGGUACCGAAAUGACAUCCUUUUGCCACCUGAGCCUAGCAAGAUUUCUGGCUUCCAGAAUAGUACAUAUAUGCUGAACUCUGCAAAUGGCAACCUGGAAUUUCCUUCUGUCAGAAAGACGGAUACAGCUCCGUAUUCCUGUGAAGCUUUCAACAGUGCUGGUCCCCCACAGCGCUGUAGAGCGGUUAAAAUGGAAGUCAGUGACCCGAAUACAGGAGGCAUUGUUGCUGGGGUAAUUGUGGCUCUUGUACUGCUUGUACUGCUCGGUCUGGGAAUUUGGUACGCUCACAAGAAAGGAUAUCUGCCCCGAAUGACUAAAAGGCAAGAACAUUUUCUUAUUACCUCCAAUGUAUUGCAUUAGUAGUAUUUUUCUACAGUAUCCAAGCUGGCGUGUGCAUUUUUAAAAUGUGUGGGUUUUUUUGUGUUUUUUUUUUUUAAAAAAUCUGUCUUGCAGCAAACCAAAAAAGGUGGUCUACCAGCCGCCUUCGGGGUACGGUGGUGAGGAUGAUGAUGCUGAGUUCAAGCAGAAGUCAUCGUUUGUUGUAUAGUCUACAAGCAACAGUCCUGGCUGGUUUGAACUUUUUCAGCGUGUGCUUUUGCUGUUUUUAUGUCACCCUUACACUUUUUAUAUUGUAAGAUCAAGUGCUAUUUUUCUCUCGAACAUUUUUACUAACCUUCUGUAAAUAUAGUCUUUUUGCUGUUUGUAAAUGUAGUCAUUUUUACUAGCUUUUAGUGUGACUGACAGAUUCAUUUUAGAUGAACAUUCUAUACAAAAUAAUGUAAAAUUUUCUCCAGAAAUGAACUGUUUCUGAAAUUCUCUUUGCCUGUGAUAUCAAUUUGAACACUACAUUGACUAAAUUAAUGCAAACAGGGUAGCAUUGCUGAAUUUUUCUUGCACAAUUUUAUUUCCUGUGAAAAAUAGAGGAAUAGAAUCCUGUGUAAACCAUAGGAGUGUCGAUUAAUAUUGUGAUUUUUUUUUUUUUAACAUUUUAUUUUCAAAUAUUAUAAAAUGCAUCUUUUAUGGUCUCCUCACAGAUGUAAACAUUUCUUGAUUAUCAUUUUUGCUUCCUGGUUGUUAAUCUACCAACAAUCAUGCGCUUACAGGGUUCAUAGGGGGCGAUGUUUGUUACAUAAUAGUAUGAAAUUUUACAAUGAGUUUUUGAAUAUUUAUUUGGAGAACCCUGAAUGUUUUCCGACGUAACAUACUGAGAGUUUGAAGCUGAUGUGUUGACCUAAUGAUGCAACUAAAUUCCAAAUAAAUCACUUUUAAAUUUGUGUAGUUUGCCGAUGCCGCAACCGUAAUGAACAAUAAAAUUACAGCAUUAUGGUGGUUUUACUCAGAAAA